GAAAUGCGAUAAGUAAUGCGAAUUGCAGAAUUUCCGUGAGUCAUCGAAUCUUUGAACGCACAUUGCGCCCAUUGGUAUUCCGAUGGGCAUGCCUGUUCGAGCGUCAUUUCAACCCUCAGAACCCCUUGCGGGAUCUGGCGUUGGGGAUUGGCAUCCAGCCAGCCCCGAAAUCUAGUGGCGGUCCCUCCGCGACCUCCCCUGUGCAGUAGCGAUACCUCGCAGCGGGACAGCGGUCUGACCACGCCGUAAAACCCCCAACUUCUCAAGGUUGACCUCGAAUCAGGUAGGAAUACCCGCUGAACUUAAGC
rnacentral:misc_RNA from 1 species